GUGGUUUGAGUUAUCCCUUGAGGUUUUGAAAGCUUAAUCUUGGUAGAAGCAUGAUAUUUUGUGGGUUUUGGGGAUAUUUAAUCAAAAUGACUCUUCUUUAGCUACAAAAUUUUCAACAUACGGAGUAUUGUUCUCAUAUGAAUAUGGUACCAAAUCCAUGGUGUUAGAUCCGUUCUCACUUUAUUCAACUUCUACAACCCAUAAGCUUCUUUUGAUCUUCAUUUCGUUCUCUCUUUCAAAGAUCUAUGGGGAAGAAGAGCAUCUGAGCAAGAUUGCUAAGGCCC
rnacentral:lncRNA from 1 species